rnacentral:rRNA from 1 species
UACGAAGGGUGCAAACGUUGCUCGGAAUUAUUGGGCGUAAAGCGCACGUAGGCGGCAUUGUAAGUCGGAUGUGAAAUCCCUCGGCUUAACCAAGGAAGUGCAUCCGAAACUGCAGUGCUUGAGUACUUAAGAGGAUCGCGGAAUUCCCGGUGUAGAGGUGAAAUUCGUAGAUAUCGGGAGGAACAUCAGUGGCGAAGGCGGCGAUCUGGGAAGAUACUGACGCUGAGGUGCGAAAGCGUGGGGAGCAAACAGG